rnacentral:rRNA from 1 species
GACGAACGUUGGCGGCGUGCUUAAUACAUGCAAGUCAACUGAAGCAGUGGUAGCAAUAUCGCUGUGGAGGUGGCGCACGGGUGAGUAACACGUAGGUAAUCUGCCUUCAGGUCUGGCAUAACUCCGGGAAACCGGGGCUAAUAGCAGAUGAUGCAGCGGCUCGACAUCGAGACAGUUGUUAAAGCUAUGGCGCCUGAAGAUGAGCCUGCGUCUGAUUAGCUAGUUGGCGGGGUAACGGCCCACCAAGGCAACGAUCAGUAGCUGGUCUGAGAGGAUGAUCAGCCACACUGGAACUGAGACACGGUCCAGACUCCUACGGGAGGCAGCAGUAAGGAAUAUUGCUCAAUGGGAGAAAUCCUGAAGCAGCAACGCCGCGUGAGGGACGAAGGGCUUUGGCUUGUAAACCUCUGUAGUGAGAGAAAAAGAUCCCAAUCUUUGGGACAUGAUGGUAUCUCAAAAGUAAGCCCCGGCUAACUACGUG